GUGCGCUCUGAAGUUUGUGACCGUCGCAGCCAACUCCUGGCCGCAGCCCGGGACGCAGCGAGCCAGCGGCCGGCCUCGAACCGCCCUCCCCCCAGCCGGAGGGCGAGGCCAGCUGUGCCCGGCGCUCUUUGGCGGCCACAGGCGUCUGUCCUCCGCUGCUCUCGCGUCCGAUCCGGGUUCAUGGAGCUGAGGCUGUGGUUCCUUUUCGGGCUCACAGUGACCUCCGCCGCAGGACCGGUGCCUCGUCCCCAGCCUGGGGACGCUGGCAGGAGCGGCGUACCCCGGGCCCCCUCUGCAACCAAGGAGACCAUGGCCAUGGUGGCAACGCGGGGUCCAAGCCCCAGAAGCUCUGGGCAGGAGCAGGAACCAGGUCCAUUUGGGGAGCUGGCUGCCAAGGGGGGCCCUGUGCGCUACCGAGCCCGGCGCUGUACGUGUUUCACCUACAAGGACAAGGAGUGUGUCUAUUAUUGCCACCUGGACAUCAUCUGGAUCAACACUCCUGAGUGAGUCAGCUCUGGGCAGGGGGUGGGGGACGGGGACAGGCAGCCUGGGGGCUCCAAGGGGUCCUGGGCGCCCCCCAGCCCCGUCUGCCUGGAGUCUUCCUGGCACCGCCUUCAGCCCUUGCGAGGCUUUCUUGCCAGCCCAGGUCGGGACUACAGGUCCAUGGAGGGACCCCAGGUCCAGGGAGGGACCCCCACAGCUCCUUUGAGGGCCUGGCCCGGGAGAAACCCAAUCCCAGAGUUUCUUAUCUGGUGGAGAGCGAGCCCUCCCUCCAAGGGACGUGAGCCAGCCAGAGGGAUUAGACACCUGAGAAGCCCACCUGGGACAGAAGAAGCCCUGACAAUUAGCUCCUGCCCCAGAGGCCAAGGGCCCGGCCCGCCUCCUGACCCUGCCAGGCUCCGGGAGUUUCACAUUCCUUGAAAGCAGCCUGCUCUCUCAGGAGGGCAGGGGUGGGCUUGGCUGGGCCUCUGGAGCCUUGGUCGGGGUGAGAGUCCAUGGGCUCCAGGCUCCUUACCUCCUGGGGCAGAGAGCCACCGGGUCCUCCUCAGGCUGGUGCCUGGUGCCCACUGCUGCCCACUGCCCCUGUCCCAGUCGGCCCCCCUUCUCCCCUUGGGUCCUGAAGCUCUCUCUUCCUUCAGGACCCUCAGGGCCACCUGAGUUAGUCUUGGGGUCUCUUUGCCGUAGAGCCAACCCUCUCCCGAGGCCGUGGAGCCCCUUCUGCAGUAACGUCAUUCUUGAAGAGGGCCUGACCUUGCUCUCAGGUCACCAGCCUUUGGGCUUUGCCAUCUUGGUCCCUACAGUCUGGGACUUUGGGCCAGCUGUCUCUAGGUGCUCAUGGGAUCUCGUGGGCAUCCUGUGCGCAGCCUUCUAGGGAGUCUUGGCCUUCCCAGAGCCCUUGGCCAGGAAAGGCAACUUUGCCGCUGUGUUUGGAGCGCCCUUGAUCCACCCUGGGUGGCAUCUUGAUGACCCGCACGUCCUGACCUUGUCUGACUGGCACCUUGAGAAUGAGGUGCCAAGGGUGGUGAACCUGAGGGGUCCUGCGUCUUUCAGAUCAGGUCCCGAGUCCCUUCCGUACGCUGGGGGAGAUCUGGAAACUCACCCCAUUGUGGGAGCCUGGCAGAGAGGGCUGGCUCCUCCGGGGAGCCUGGACACUUGCGCAGGGUCCUGGCUCAGAAGGACCCUCGUGGUUUAGGGCUGCAUUUUUGCUGUCCCGAAAUGCUUAAUACUUUUUGAAGCAGGGGGCGCCACAUUGGCAUAUCAUCCCGGGCCCCACCACGUGGAGCUGGCCCUGAUGCCACAGUGUGCUUGCGGGCAGCGUCUGAUCGGCUCCUACACAUGCGGCCAGCUGGCAGCAGGGAGGAUGGUGCCAGAUAGGAGAAGUGCUGUGUGCUGGGGAGGGACUCCUGGACCGGCCGCCGUCGACUGUUCUCUGUUCUCGGGUAGGGAUCCGGGUCACCUUCCCCGAGAGCCCUCCUCACCCCGACACCUGUCACUUUCUGCUUCUCAUCCUCCUGGCACUGUCAUCUGACCACAUGAGCGCCACACAACCCAGGACCCGAGGCAGUGGACGGCAGGAAGAGUCUCGCCCUGGCAGGAAUCCCAGGCGGUGGGUCUGGAAGGAGAAAAAAGGAAGCCAAGCGAAUUAGGGACCGACGGGUGGGGGGAGGAAGGAGAGAGGGGAUAUUUGGAGAUGACCUUCCUUCUCUGCCUGUUCCAAGCCUCAGGCACUGGCUGAGGAGAGGCGAUUGCCCGAACUGCAUCCGAGAGGCAAGACAAAAGCUCUGAGAUGGGGCGGGAAUCCUGCCUCGUAAUUCCGGGCUGUCUUUGACUUUUUCAGGGACAGGGAGCUCGCUAACGUGCCCCCCCCCCACCCCCCAGUUUGAUUUACCUCUUCCCCUCUUCCCUGACCCUGAUUCAUUUUAAACACUGGAGGAAAAGGAGUAAAUCUGGUGUUUGGGAGUCCCGUGAGCUACCCGGGAAACACAAAUGAGAGUAGCCAGACUCGAAGUCAGACGAGUGAUGUCACUUUUAUCCCGAAGACCUUCCCGGAUGGUCUGUCUCUGUUCCUUUCUUUCCCCCCUCUACUCGUCCCUCCCUCCCUCUUUCUUUUCUUCCCUCCUAAAACUGUCUGCUGAUAGGUACACAGAACCGUUGACCAUCUUUGUAGCAUCUUGGACAAGAUCGCAGAAGGUGGAAACGGGCUCUAAGCGACUUGGAUCUUUGGAGGAAUGGCUGGAUUGAGCUGAAGGGACUUUUCCAGGUUCUGUCACCCACCCUUAGCUGUCACCCCCUCUUCUUUAGCAGGUGCUCUUGGUCUCUCAAAACUUCUCUAGGGUGUGAUUUGCAUCCAGUCCCCACACCUGGCUGUGCUGGGAACCUGUGGGAGUCUGGGUCCUCAUGCCUAAAUCCAGAGUCUUAAAUUUGGGGUGAUUUUCAGCUUUUGGUGUCUUUCCUUCUACCCCCCUUUGGUUGCACAGAGCAGGUGCAACCACCCCCUGUAUCAGGAAAGGACGCUGGCAGAGUUGCAGGCAUUCUUUGAGAACGGUCACCUGGGAUGCAUUCAAGGACCCAAAGCUCCAGGGGGGAUGUUGAGAGUUACUGCAUCUCGUGUGGAAAGUUAGCGUCUGCGUGAGGCUCAAGAGACCGGCCACAUCCAGACGUAUCUUUCAGGGAUGAGGGCUGAGUCCUCGGGUUUUCCCGCGUCCUCCUUCUUAGUUCUUCUGGACCUGAGCUUGGUCAGCACCCAGCACCGAGUGACUCAGUAAUGCCGGCGAUGUCUGGUGAGGCCCUGGUCUUUGCUGUCACCGUGGUUCUGUCCGCAGUCUCCUCCCACCGAGGAGUCCUGUCCCAGGGUGCGUGGAUGCUCCUGGAGGUCCUACCUCCCUGCGAUGUGUGCGGGGAUGUGGGUUUUUGGGGGACUGUUGCCCUUAGCUUCCAUUGUAUCCUCCAGAAAACUCAGGGCCCCAGAGAGGGGUGAACCAGACGCAUCCUGGGCAGCUGUCCUUCUUGCCCCCAGGGAGGCAGCUGAGAUGGCAGCUCAUCCACAGCAUGAGAGAUUUCCAUGGCUUUCCUUGGCCCCUCCCCCCAGCAACCCCACUGUUGCCAACAAAAACAAAAACAUCAGAGAAAAACACAUCCCAGCUUAUGGUCAUGGAAGAUUUGCUGAGACUAAGAUAAGACGAGAAGGAGGGACGGAUACCGCCACGUGCUCCCCUCCCUGUGCACUUGGGGCUGUUUUCCAUGAGAAAAUGUCAAGAACAGGAGUGUCCUGGGACAUGGUGGGGGACUGUGUCUGUCAGGGUCUCCAGAGGUGGAACUAACGUGUGUGUGUGUGUGUGUGUAGAUAUGUAUGUGUGCAUACACACAACACACACGCGAGUUUAGGCAGUCUGGAGGCAGAAUUCCCCUUUUCCUCAGGGCCCCUCAUUCCUCUCUGUCAAGGCCUUCAACUGAUUAGAUGAGGCCCACCCACCUUGGGACGGGCACUCUGCUUUACUCAGCAUCUGCUGAUGUCAACGCUAAUGGCAUUUGAAAGAUACCUUCCUAACAACAUCUAGACUGGCAUUUGGUCAGAUGUCUGGGUACCAUGGCCCAGCCAAGUUGACCCAUCAAAUUAGCCAUCACUGGGCUCUCAGUUCUAAUCCUACCCCACAGUGGGGCAGCCCCCCCACCCCCCACCCCUGCCAUAGUACACCUGGCUGCAGAGUGAGACCACCUACCCUCUGACGGCCAACAGAGCUUCAGGGCACCCAGCAAGGAGCCCCACUUCGUUCCUCCCCACUUUGUCUGUUCCUGAGAACUGAAGGAACGUGCCAUCUGUUGAUCCCUCCGAGGGUGUGAUGAAGGUGGCAUUGUGACACAGUGACCCUGUUUCCCAACAAAAAUCUGAGUCACCUGGGCUGACAAGGAGGAAUGUCUUUGUGGAAAGAAUAGCACAGGAGCCUGGAAUCACGACUCUGAUCAUCUUGUGGGAAGAUUCCAGGCCCAGGAGCAGCCCUGUGUCCUGGUUCUGACUCGCCGCAUGGCCUGGGGUAGUGCCCACUCUCUCCCGGUACCCUGUGUAAGGUGCGGACAUCGGAGUGGCCCUAGGAUGGUGACCCCACAGGAUGACCAGCCUGGUCAACCUGACUCAGCCAGCGGGAAUGGCGUUUGUCUUGAGGACCUUUCCUCCCCAAAGAAGCAGAGUCAAAAUAAUAAUAACAAAGCAUUUAAAGAGGGAGUUUAACGAAUGCUACCACACCAAAGGGCAGCCCUUCAGCAGAUUCCUCUUUUCCCUGUGUUGUUGAAGAGAGUCGUGCCAGCCCGUCUCCAGGAAGGGCGUUUUAAGUUUGAGAACAUCCCAGAGGAAAGGAUGGAGCUGGUACCCAGCCUCUGGUGGGUGGAGCCAGCUGUCACCCACUGUGGGAUUUCAGGGACUCCGCGAACAGUCACCUGACCCCUGAGGCCGAGGGAUGGCCUUUCUGCCGCGGUCAAGGUCAUGCAGAUGAUGAUGGGCACACAGGUGUUGACCGUGACUCCUGCGCGUAAAGAUGGGUGAGGAGGGCGUGAGAAAGUGCGAGGGACAGUCUUGGCGCGGUGCCUGGACUCUAGUGGACAGUCAGUGUGUCAGAGACAGGACAGCUGGAUAACUGCUCAGCCUCUGGGAGGCAUCAGCCUCGGGGUGCCCUGCCUGCUGAGGCCCUUCUGGGGCUGCAGAUGCCCAUGACCGGAGAGUUGAAGGCCUGCUGUGGUCGGCUUCCUCGGACCCUCCGAGCGUGGUUUUGCCCAGCCUUCUGCAGUAACGCUGAGGCACCCACACCCUG
rnacentral:lncRNA from 1 species